GUGGGGAAUAUUGCACAAUGGGGGAAACCCUGAUGCAGCGACGCCGCGUGAGUGAAGAAGUAUUUCGGUACGUAAAGCUCUAUCAGCAAGGAAGAAAAUGACGGUACUUGACUAAGAAGCCCCGGCUAACUACGUGCCAGCAGCCGCGGUAAUACGUAGGGGGCAAGCGUUAUCCGGAUUUACUGGGUGUAAAGGGAGCGUAGACGGUAUGGUAAGUCAGAUGUGAAAGCCCGGGGCUCAACCCCGGGACUGCAUUUGAAACUAUCAGACUAGAGUGCAGGAGAGGUAAGUGGAAUUCCUAGUGUAGCGGUGAAAUGCGUAGAUAUUAGGAGGAACACCAGUGGCGAAGGCGGCUUACUGGACUGUAACUGACGUUGAGGCUCGAAAGCGUGGGGAGCAAACAGGAUUAGAAACCCGUAGUCC
rnacentral:rRNA from 1 species